GGUGACGAGUGGCGGACGGGUGAGUAAUGUCUGGGAAACUGCCCGAUGGAGGGGGAUAACUACUGGAAACGGUAGCUAAUACCGCAUAACGUCGCAAGACCAAAGUGGGGGACCUUCGGGCCUCACACCAUCGGAUGUGCCCAGAUGGGAUUAGCUAGUAGGUGGGGUAAUGGCUCACCUAGGCGACGAUCCCUAGCUGGUCUGAGAGGAUGACCAGCCACACUGGAACUGAGACACGGUCCAGACUCCUACGGGAGGCAGCAGUGGGGAAUAUUGCACAAUGGGCGCAAGCCUGAUGCAGCCAUGCCGCGUGUAUGAAGAAGGCCUUCGGGUUGUAAAGUACUUUCAGCGAGGAGGAAGGCAUUAAGGUUAAUAACCUUGGUGAUUGACGUUACUCGCAGAAGAAGCACCGGCUAACUCCGUGCCAGCAGCCGCGGUAAUACGGAGGGUGCAAGCGUUAAUCGGAAUUACUGGGCGUAAAGCGCACGCAGGCGGUCUGUCAAGUCGGAUGUGAAAUCCCCGGGCUCAACCUGGGAACUGCAUUCGAAACUGGCAGGCUAGAGUCUUGUAGAGGGGGGUAGAAUUCCAGGUGUAGCGGUGAAAUGCGUAGAGAUCUGGAGGAAUACCGGUGGCGAAGGCGGCCCCCUGGACAAAGACUGACGCUCAGGUGCGAAAGCGUGGGGAGCAAACAGGAUUAGAUACCCUGGUAGUCCACGCCGUAAACGAUGUCGACUUGGAGGUUGUGCCCUUGAGGCGUGGCUUCCGGAGCUAACGCGUUAAGUCGACCGCCUGGGGAGUACGGCCGCAAGGUUAAAACUCAAAUGAAUUGACGGGGGCCCGCACAAGCGGUGGAGCAUGUGGUUUAAUUCGAUGCAACGCGAAGAACCUUACCUACUCUUGACAUCCAGAGAACUUAGCAGAGAUGCUUUGGUGCCUUCGGGAACUCUGAGACAGGUGCUGCAUGGCUGUCGUCAGCUCGUGUUGUGAAAUGUUGGGUUAAGUCCCGCAACGAGCGCAACCCUUAUCCUUUGUUGCCAGCGGUUCGGCCG
rnacentral:rRNA from 1 species